GACGCGCAAUGACUCUUGGGAUAUCCUCGGCUGUUAAGGAUCCAUUCGUUCUAUCCUUAACAUCGCGGAGAAAUGAGGACGCAUUUUGAGGCUUCAUUCUAAGCAUCCUUUGAAAUGGGACGGCCUUACUGGCCUCAAGUCGCGCUGCUGUGACGCAAUCGGUCUUAAAAUACGUCCUUAGAAGGUCGCAGCCUUUGAAUUGGGACACAGCUAAAGUGCCAGCAGAGGAUCCAAAAUAAUGAAAAAAAAAAAAAACAUCCAAUGCAACUUGGAAAUUGUAGUCAAAAUACAUCUACAGCAGCAUGCUAAAGCAGUACCAACGCCAGGGCAAAAGACUCAAAUUCCCAGAAUGCACCUGCACCCACCCAUUCAUUCCCACCAAUCAGGAUCAACGGCAUUUUUCAAACCGCUACUGACUCGUUUUCAUGCUAAACAGUACGGCUGAGGUAAGUUUGACUUUCAUUCCUUUACAUCGCGCAGAUCUGUUCCAUAUUUGUUCCUAUUUUGUUCUUCACUGUGAUUAUUUUUGUCUUUAUGCGAGAAGUGUUUUAAUUUUAAGCACACACAGGAAACAUUAAGAAGGUCAUGUACCAUGUGGUCGACCUUGCUGACGCUGAAGAGGUUUCUGUGUAAAAAUGAUGACAUUGAGACAAACAGACCAGUUCUGGCUGCCGUGGAGGUCAACACACCACUGAUCUACUGGCUGCCCUUCAACGUGAUGCCCAGCCGAUGCCUGACCACCGACGGAACUAGGGCUGCACGAUAAGUCGCAUGUGUUUGUCAGGCGCAUCUCCUCAGUAAUGCCGGUUCCUUGAUUAGUAUUAAAUCGCCAUCAGCUGUUUUCAGAUGUAGCAGCUUUAACUACACAGAGCCGUAGUUCACUGACAAUCGGGGCAAUUUCGCAUUAAUUAUCGCGGACGUAUCGGCUGCGAUAUGGCCCAGCUUGUCAGGGAACUACGG